UGGAUGAAGUUCUCCUCGUAGCGCCCCAUCUUUAUGGCCCGCAGCCACUCCCCCACAGAUGCACACUGGGACAGCGGCGGUGGCGGCCUCUGGUCCAGGAGCGGCUGACCUUUUUAAGAAGGACGAGGACAAGAGACAAGAGACUAAAGACACCCCAAAGGAAAA